UCACGAAAGUGGAUUGUACUAGAAGUCUGCAGGCUGACCCGCAAGGGAGGCAGCGGCCCAAGGUAUGAUACCAUGAUUGGGUG
rnacentral:rRNA from 1 species